rnacentral:rRNA from 1 species
GGCGGACGGGUGAGGAACACGUGGGUCAUCUACCGACAGGUGAGGAAUACCGGCGAGAAAUCGCCGACAAUACCGCAUAGGUUUGGGAACAAGCAAAGUCUCGGCAACGAGAUGCCUGUUGAUGAGCCUGCGUCCGAUUAGCUAGUUGGUGGGGUAAUGGCCCACCAAGGCGACGAUCAGUAGCUGGUCUGAGAGGAUGAUCAGCCUCACUGGGACUGAGACACGGCCCAGACUCCUACGGGAGGCAGCAGUGGGGAAUAUUGGACAAUGGGCGCAAGCCUGAUCCAGCCAUGCCGCGUGGGUGAUGAAGGCCCUAGGGUUGUAAAGCCCUUUCGGCGGGGAAGAUAAUGACGGUACCCGCAGAAGAAGCCCCGGCUAACUUCGUG